UACAGAGGGUGCAAGCGUUAAUCGGAAUUACUGGGCGUAAAGCGUGCGUAGACGGUUAUGUAAGUCGGGUGUGAAAGCCCCGGGCUCAACCUGGGAAUGCCAUUCGAGACUGCAUAGCUAGGGUGCGGAAGAGGGAAGCGGAAUUUCCGGUGUAGCGGUGAAAUGCGUAGAUAUCGGAAGGAACACCAGUGGCGAAAGCGGCUUCCUGGUCCAGCACCGACGUUCAGGCAUGAAAGCGUGGGGAGCAAACAGG
rnacentral:rRNA from 1 species